GUUUUAAUAAUUUAAAAAAAAUAUUGAUUUUGUAAAUCAAUUUUGGUUUAACCUUAAAACA
rnacentral:tRNA from 1 species